rnacentral:lncRNA from 1 species
UGUGCAGUAGAGCUUCCACUGCCCCUAUAGNNNNNAGAUAGACUGAGCUCCUCAAGAAUUCCUAUUUAAGUUACAAAGCAGCGAGUGGAUGCCCUGCUGGGUUCCACUGUUGCCACAGGCUUUGAUUACUCUAAGUUCAUGCUUCUUAGGAAAGUGCACUUUUUACACCAAUGCUACACAGUUCCCUCAGUUGCCUUUACUGGACAUCAAAGAGUUCACAUUUUUGACAACUGUUCAGUCCUGGACUGUCCAAGGGGUGGAGCUAGCUCAGUACAGGAAGCUGCCUGCUGCGUGUGGAUCAGUAAUAUCAGACUUGCGCAACAACUCACUGGAGACAUGAAAACCAAUGCAUGGGGGAUGCAUGACGUCACCCAAAUAAUUAUGAACACUCUUGUGCUGCCAGAGACCCCAGAUCUCUAAACCAAUGCAUGGGGAAUGCAUGAUAUCACCCAAAUAUUUACAAACACGCUUAUUCUGCCAGAGACCCCAGAUCACUUUUCCUGCCUCCUGCUAAAUAAAUGGGGGCAGUAGCUUUGCAUCGGCUUCCACAUUACAUUACUCAUAACUGUGGCCUUCCUAAUCUCUUAUGUCCCUAAACACUUAUUACAAUGUCUCAGCAGCUUUCGCUCAGCCUCUCAAAAUAUUAGUCAUCACGAAAAUAAAUGUCUGAUGUUAAAGCAUCAGGGGUCAAUUGUAUUGUGACACCUAAAAUUUCAUGCAGCACCCCACCAUGUCCUCAGCCUAAUGGCUUUCAUGCCCCCACCAGACUGCAAAACUCUGAAUUAGUCAAGCACAUCCCUGAAGGGACGAGGGGUUACCCCACCCUCGGGGGAUGCAUGACGUCAAUUACAUUACUCAUAACUGUGGCCUUCC